rnacentral:rRNA from 1 species
AUGUCGCCAUGGCUUUUGCUGGUGUUAUGUUGUUGCUCCACACACGCCCUGCUAGUUGCUUCGACUCUCUGCCCGAGCUCCGUUUUUCGUCAUGGACGUGGGGUAGAUGUUGAACCUCGCCAUGGUUCUGUCCAACGCUGCAAGUCCGACUCCAAGACCACCUCAAGUUCGGCUACAUGUAACACCGUGUACGACUACAUAUCCGGGAUGCGUCAAGUACCCCACCGUCAAGACCGAGACCGCCCGGAGACCACGAAUCCGUGA